rnacentral:rRNA from 1 species
GACGAGCGCUGGCGGCGUGCUUAACACAUGCAAGUCGAACGGAAAGGCCCUGCUUUUGUGGGGUGCUCGAGUGGCGAACGGGUGAGUAACACGUGAGUAACCUGCCCUUGACUUUGGGAUAACUUCAGGAAACUGGGGCUAAUACCGGAUAGGAGCUCCUGCUGCAUGGUGGGGGUUGGAAAGUUUCGGCGGUUGGGGAUGGACUCGCGGCUUAUCAGCCUGUUGGUGGGGUAGUGGCUUACCAAGGCUUUGACGGGUAGCCGGCCUGAGAGGGUGACCGGGCACAGUGGGACUGAGAAACGGGCCAGAAUACUACGGGAGGCAGCAGUGGGGAAUAUUGCACAAUGGGCGGAAGCCUGAUGCAGCAACGCCGGGUGCGGGAUGAAGGCCUUCGGGUUGUAAACCGCUUUCGCCUGUGACGAAGCGUGAGUGACGGUAAUGGGUAAAGAAGCACCGGCCAACUACGUG